AUUGAACGCUGGCGGCAGGCCUAACACAUGCAAGUCGAGCGGAGCGGCGGACGGGUGAGUAAUGCCUAGGAAUCUGCCUGGUAGUGGGGGAUAACGUCCGGAAACGGGCGCUAAUACCGCAUACUAUCAGAUGAGCCUAGGUCGGAUUAGCUAGUUGGUGGGGUAAAGGCCUACCAAGGCGACGAUCCGUAACUGGUCUGAGAGGAUGAUCAGUCACACUGGAACUGAGACCCGGUCCAGACUCCUACGGGAGGCAGCAGUGGGGAAUAUUGGACAAUGGGCGAAAGCCUGCUCCAGCCAUGCCGCGUGUGUGAAGAAGGCCUUCGGGUUGUAAAGUACUUUCAGCUAGGAGGCGUUACUCGCAGAAUAAGCACCGGCUAACUCCGUGCCAGCCGCCGCGGUAAUAC
rnacentral:rRNA from 1 species